UUUAACCACUGGAAGUGCCUUUGUUUAAGGCUGAGAGUAAAGAACUGACUUUAUAAUUCCUGGAACCUGAUCCAGUUCAUACUGGCGUAGGGAAGUGGCGACGCUCAAUU
rfam:Staphylococcus epidermidis RP62A, complete genome.